rnacentral:misc_RNA from 1 species
GAUGAAGAACGUAGCGAAAUGCGAUACGUAAUGUGAAUUGCAGAAUUCAGUGAGUCAUCGAAUCUUUGAACGCACAUUGCGCCCACUGGUAUUCCGGUGGGCAUGCCUGUUCGAGCGUCAUUAUCCUCCCUCAAACCCCGGGUUUGGUGUUGGACCCAAGUUGUGUGAACAACUGGUCUCAAAGACAAUGACGGCGUCCGUGGGACCCUCGGUGCAACGAGCUUUUAGGAGCACGCAUCGAGUUGCAAGGACCUUCCGGGCCGGUCUCCUUUACCAUUUUACAAGGUUGACCUCGGAUCAGGUAGGAAUACCCGCUGAACUUAAGCAUAUCAAUAAGCGGAGGA